rnacentral:lncRNA from 1 species
AAGCCAUUGAAAAUUUGCCAGGAUUUAAUUAUCUCUAGAUUUUGAAAUGUGUUUUUUUAAACUAUAUAUUUAUGUAAUAAAAUUAUGAAAAGAAAAGUAGGGGUCAGCAGGCAAACUUUUAAUGGCGCUACAUGGAUAAAACCAAAAGAUUCCAAAUAUCUGGCAAAAAUAGAAAAAACAAGAGGAGUGAACAUGCUUAAGGAUGAAUGUUACUAAAUGUUAAUUAAGAUUUUAAUUCCCUAUUUGUAUGUUAUAAUUGUUUGCACGUAAACUUAAAUAAUACUAAAAGUUGUGUCUGUGAUAGUUGAGAGUUUUCAAUGAAGAGUUUAUUGCACUUUUUGUCUAGUCAUUUAAGAUGUAGAAUUGCCUAUCUAAUUACAAUACAGAUCCUGUGUCUCAAAUUUUGCCUGCAACAAUGUGUUCUACUUUCUGUUAUGGUAAUGAUUUCAUCAGCCAAUGAAAUUUUAGCUUUCAAGUUUUUGAAGGUGUAUAUCAGAUCCUGUGUCUCAAGUUUUGCCUGCAACAAUGAGUUCUACUUUCUGUUAUGGUAAUCAUUACAUCAGCCAAUGAAAUUUUAGCUUUCUGAUUUUUGAAGGUGUAUAUCGUUAUGAAAAACCCAGAGGACCCCAAAAGAUCUUUAUACCACAAAGUAGAACCAGAUUGUUGUCAAACAAAUGACAGACCCAAAAUCUGUAUUUCAAUCAGAUAAACGAAUAGCAGUAUUACAACUUGUUUCCACUAGAUAUUUGUUUCGUAGAUUUUUGACACUCAGCAGGGCUUAAUAGUAAAUUAUCAUAGAGUUAAACCAUGGUGCCAUGUAGUAAAUGUGAUUUUACAUUAUAGGGAUUUUUUUAUAUAUGUGAAAAUUAUUUCUUCUUUUUUUUGUACAAUUGAAGUAUUUUUUCUGCAAGUUGUUUAUUUCUUCUUAUGAAAAGAGUAAUACAUUAUUAAGUUUGAAAUACUCAAGCUUUAGAUUUAUUUAAUGUGUAUUUGUGAUAAAAUCAUGUGCUGUAUUGCUAGACUGUGAUAUUUAUAAUAGAAGCUAUAUUUAU